rnacentral:tRNA from 1 species
GUGGGUGUAGCUCAAGGGUUAGAGCGCCUGGCUGUGGCCCAGGAGGUUGCGGGUUCGAAACCCGUCACUCACCCCA